AAACAUUCAGAGACUGAAGCGCCGACUGAAAGAAAUCUAUGGCAAGAAAAUAUGAGUGAAGUCACAAAUGUCACCAAGGAAAGGAAGAACAGAAAAAUAACUUGAAUAUUCAAGAUGGGCAGCCUAGUUCAACGACACAUCAAGCCUUGUGAAAAGGUGACUCCGAGAUUCAGAUGCUGCCCAAGCCAACCCGAGUUUACCAGGUUCCAGGAAUGACCUUGAAUUCCAGAUCCUUCUGCCCCCAUCAUCUGAGUGCUGGGUUACGGUUGGGUGGCUAUACCUGCCUCUCACCUGGGUCUUUGAAACAAAAGAGGGAAGAAAGAAAGAAGGAAAGAAAGAAAGAAAGAAAGAAAGAAAGAAAGAAAGAAAGAAAGAAGAAAAGAAAGAAAGAAGAAAGAAAGAAAGAAAGAAAGAAGAAAGAAAGAAAGAAAGAAGAAAGAAAGAAAGAAGAAAGAAGAAAGAAAGAAAGAAAGAAGAAAGAAAGAAAGAAAGAAAGAAAGAAAGAAGAAAAAAGGAAAGGAGAGAGAGAGAGAUUGAGAAUAUGAGAUCUUCAUUAACCAUAAAAGUCAGGGAUCGGGUAAAGCCUUGCAGCAUAAAUAACAUAAAUUCAAAAUAGUUGACAUUUCAUUCAGUCCACAAAAGAGCCUUGGCUGAACACUGAUAAUUUUACAUUUGAAUUUCUCAGGCGUAUCCAUUUCUAAGUACAGAGGUGAUCUGUGGUGUGGGCUGACAAGUUAUUCCGAUCUAUCUUCAGUGGGAAAACCAAGGUUUCACACCAAAAUGACAGCAUAAAGUCCCACACGUGUGGCUUCUAAGCUUAAAAAGCCUAAGAUGAAACUUCCCCUGAUCCUAUCAUCAAAAUAAACACUUACUAUAUUACCAAAUAUUACACAACUAAGAU
rnacentral:lncRNA from 1 species